AGCACUUAGGGAGCCGCUCCUUGCCGAGUUCUUAGGGAGCCGCUCCUUGCCGAGUUCUUAGGGAGCCGCUCCCUAAAUGCUCUAUUUUUCCUCAGUCUUCAUCCACCGAGUUCUUCUUCCUCUUCACCCGCCGACCUUUUCUUAUUCCUCCUCACCAGCCGACUCCUUCCGCGAUUGCUCCGCCGGCUAUUUUUCUUUUUCUCUUCCGCGAUUGCUCCGCCGGCUAUCCCUAUUUUCCCCUUCCGCGAUUGUUCCACGACUGCUUUUCACAAUCUCGAUUUCUUCACGCUGUUGUAAGCGAUUGCUGCACGCCGCUGCUCCACGAUUGCUCUCUCGAUUACUUCACGCUAUUGCACUUUUCUCUCCACUUCGCGGCAGGCAGCGACGAUCUGCAGCAGUGGCGAACUCCGACGAAGACCGCGGGGCCUUCGCGACUCUCUGAAGCAGAUUUUCUUGCUGCCUCUCUCCACAGUUGCAGACCGCAAUCUUCCAGAGUCCCGUCCUCCUGUCGGGACUUAGAAUACAAGAAGUCGAGCGGAAAACGUAGCUAGCGAGAAGGAUGACAUGAGAAGCAAGUCGACAGACUUGGUGCAUCCGAGGGACUAAGUGUUGCAGAAGAGUAUAUUGGCGGACGAGAAGGAUGCGCACAACGCUUUCGAGAGACGAGAAGCCGGAGCAGACGUCUAUUUGAGAAGAAGGCCAGAGUUGAGUUUGGAUGAGCUCAACUCUGGAUGGCUGAAAAAUCACCCAAUCAACUUGAGCAGCAGCUGGACAAAGUCAACUAUGUGUUGACUUUGUCCAAGCACCUGGACCAGCUUGGUACCGAACAUGCGCCCUAUUGUCGAGACGUUGCUGCAGAUAAAAUUUGGAUCCACAUCAGCGACAAUCCAGACGCUCAGACCGGUUCAGGCGCUUGGGUACCGAUAAAGAUUUAUCAUCGCGGCAUUGAAGAGCCGUUGCGAAUAGAUAAAGUGCACCACUGGAGGUGCCCGAAUCCACUCCAGGUGCCCGGAGAUGCCACGUCAACCAAUGGAUACUUUUGACCAGCAGGCUAUACAUAGAGCUCUAGUACUCUUCAUUUCAACAACAAUUGUUUACGAACUUUGUACUCCGAUCUAGCUACUUGUGCUUUCAUUACUGUAAGGGGCUUCUCCGCCUCCAAGAAAGGAGACUUUUUAGUGAGCUUAAUUUUGUCUUGGACUAGCAACCUCUUUGGUUGCAAA